UAUAUGGGACAUUAAGAAAUGUAUUAGCUGCACCUAUAUGCGCUCCCGCAAAACAAAACUGAACAAUUCCUCUAAUUUGGAAUUUGUAUUUGUUGUAUUCUAUAUCUGCUAUGCAAGCUACACGAUGCAACAAUUUUAGUUUUUUAUUCUUUUGUACUGUCAUGAACUCUGAUGGUUGUAUAGGGCAACUUUUUUCUUCACUCCAUAAUUCAGGAUGAACCAGGUGUCUUGGUCAUAUGGUUUAUUUCAGUCCACCUCAGGGAACAAAGUUCAUCUCCAAUGGCAAAUCCAUAGCUUUGUGCUAAAGGUUCAGGCAGAUGGAAGCAUUAGCAAUUCCCUCGACAUAGCUCUCGAUUGGGCCUGAUCCACAACCAGCUAAGGGGACAUUUCUACAGAUCGUUUCUAUCUGAUUUCCGACAUUUUCAGUUUUUGGAACACCCAGAAUGGAUAUAUUGAGUGUCCCUCUUGCUGCUAAACACAAUACAGUUGAGAUUAUGUCCCUACUGAGAUUCUUAAAGAACAUGGUACACCGGAAUAGCUUCAGAUCAAAGUAACUCAGCCGAUGGACCUUCUUAUCAUGAAACACCAUGGCAAUCGAGCUGUCGUCCAUCCGUCCCUCCCUCCUCGCGCCCGGAACCCUAGCUCGCGGCCAUGGCGACCGUGCACGUCGCAGGCAGCGCAGGAUCUUCAGCACUACAAGUUGUGAUUUCUA